rnacentral:rRNA from 1 species
GAUUAACGCUGGCGGCGUGCCUAAGACAUGCAAGUCGAACGGAGAAUUAGCAAUAGUUCUUAGUGGCGAAUGGGUGAGUAACGCGUUGGUGACCUGCCCCAAAGUGAGGGAUAACAACUCGAAAGGGUUGCUAAUACCCCAUGUAGUUUUCGGAAUUAGAAACCGAUUUCCAAAGGAGUAAUCCGCUUUGGGAGGGGCCUGCGUCCCAUCAGCUAGUUGGUAGGGUAAUGGCCUACCAAGGCGAUGACGGGUAGGGGGCCUGAGAGGGUGGCCCCCCACAUUGGCACUGAAACACGGGCCAAACACCUACGGGAGGCUG